rnacentral:rRNA from 1 species
GCCUAACACAUGCAAGUCGAGCGGGAUUAUUCGGAAGCUUGCUUCUAGAUAUGAGAGCGGCGAACGGGUGAGGAACACGUUGGAAUCUGCCCCCAAGUCAGGGAUAGCGAGAAGAAAUUCUCAUUAAUACCGGAUAGUCUCUUUGGAGUAAAAAUUUAUUGCUUGGGGAAGAGCCCGCGUUCUAUCAGCUAGUUGGUGAGAUAAAAGCUCACCGAGGCGACGAUCUAUAGCUGGUCUGAGAGGAUGACCAGCCACACUGGGACUGAGACACGGCCCAGACUCCUACAGGAGGCAGCAGUGAGGAAUAUUGGACAAUGGAGGAAACUCUGAUCCAGCCAUGCCGCGUGAGUGAAGAAGGCCUUAGGGUUGUAAAGCUCUUUUGGCAGGGACGAUAAUGACGGUACCUGCAGAAUAAGCCCCGGCAAACUUCGUGCCAGCCGCCGCCGUAA